UACGUAGGGGCAAGCGUUAUCCGGAUUUACUGGGUGUAAAGGGCGUGUAGGCGGGGACGCAAGUCAGAUGUGAAACCACGGGCUCAACCUGUGGCCUGCAUUUGAAACUGUGUUUCUUGAGUACUGGAGAGGCAGACGGAAUUCCUAGUGUAGCGGUGAAAUGCGUAGAUAUUAGGAGGAACACCAGUGGCGAAGGCGGCUGCUGGAC
rnacentral:rRNA from 1 species